rnacentral:rRNA from 1 species
UACGUAGGUGGCAAGCGUUGUCCGGAUUUACUGGGCGUAAAGAGCGCGCAGGCGGUCGUCCAAGUCGCGUGUGAAAGCCCCCGGCUCAACUGGGGAGGGUCACGCGAUACUGGUCGACUCGAAGGCAGGAGAGGGUAGUGGAAUUCCCGGUGUAGUGGUGAAAUGCGUAGAUAUCAUUUGGAACGCCAAUGGUGAAAACAGGUAGCUGGGGGUGUGCUGACACUGAGACACGAAAGCCAGGGGAGCAAACGGG